rnacentral:rRNA from 1 species
UGCGUAGGCGGCGGGGAAAGUCAGAUGUGAAAUCCGGAGGCUCAACCUCCGAAUUGCAUCCGAUACUACCUCGCUAGAGAUUUGUAGAGGAGCUUGGAAUUCUCGGUGUAGCAGUGAAAUGCGUAGAUAUCGAGAAGAACGCUCGCAGCGAAGGCGAAGCUCUGGGCAAAUUCUGACGCUGAUGCACGAAGGCGUAGGGGAGCAAACG